rnacentral:rRNA from 1 species
CCUACGGGAGGCAGCAGUGGGGAAUUUUGGACAAUGGGCGAAAGCCUGAUCCAGCAAUGCCGCGUGAGUGAAGAAGGCCUUCGGGUUGUAAAGCUCUUUUGUCAGGGAAGAAACGGUGCGGGCUAAUAUCCCGCACUAAUGACGGUACCUGAAGAAUAAGCACCGGCUAACUACGUGCCAGCAGCCGCGGUAAUACGUAGGGUGCAAGCGUUAAUCGGAAUUACUGGGCGUAAAGCGUGCGCAGGCGGUUUUGUAAGUUUGUCGUGAAAGCCCCGGGCUCAACCUGGGAAUUGCGAUGAAGACUGCAAGGCUUGAAUCUGGCAGAGGGGGGUAGAAUUCCACGUGUAGCAGUGAAAUGCGUAGAGAUGUGGAGGAACACCGAUGGCGAAGGCAGCCCCCUGGGUCAAGAUUGACGCUCAUGCACGAAAGCGUGGGGAGCAAACAGGAUUAGAUACCCUGGUAGUCCACGCCCUAAACGAUGUCUACUAGUUGUCGGGUUUUAAUUAACUUGGUAACGCAGCUAACGCGUGAAGUAGACCGCCUGGGGAGUACGGUCGCAAGAUUAAAACUCAAAGAUAGUACGACGUGAGAGAGCGACGACGACGACGAGGAGGAGGAG